CCCUUAGAUGUUCUGGGCCGCACGCGUGCUACACUGAGUGGAUCAGCGGGUCAGGUUGCGCGAAAGCGUUUCCUAAUCUUGAAAUCCGCUCGUGAUGGGGAUUGACGGUUGCAAUUUUCUGUCAUGAACGAGGAAUACCUUGUAAGCGCGAGUCAUCAUCCCGCGCUGAAUACGUCCCUGCCCUUUGUACACACCGCCCGUCGCUCCUACCGAUUGAGUGGUCCGGUGAGGCUUUGGGAUCUGAGCGGAAAGAGCGUUUCGCUCGUUCUGCCCAGAAAACUCAGUCGAACCUUAUCAUUUAGAGGAAGGAGAAGUCGUAACA
rnacentral:rRNA from 1 species